UUUUAUUUGAGAGUUUGAUCCUGGCUCAGGAUGAACGCUGGCGGCGUGCCUAACACAUGCAAGUCGAACGAAGCACCUUACUUGAUUCUUCGGAUGAAGGUCUGGUGACUGAGUGGCGGACGGGUGAGUAACGCGUGGGUAACCUGCC
rnacentral:rRNA from 1 species